GUUAACACCGCGUACUCAGCUACGCCCGUGACUGCUCGCUCCUCCUCCAUUUCAAAGAGGACCGAACAGCGCAAAUGGGCGAAACCCAAACUUCCUCGCUCGAAAAAGACUGCAGUUGCAUCUAUGUUAACAAGAUCUUAUGAAGCUGCUGCACCUGAUGAUGCUUGCCUCUAUCAAAUUAAAGGUUUGAUUUCUUUCGGGAGGACCAACAGUGACUCACAGCAGAAAGAUACUGAAGAAAAGUCAAGUAUUUAGAUGCUAUCGAAGCUUCAUGCAAUUCUGCAUCCGUUCCUCCUAUGGCAUAGGAAAGUUGAUGUAGAGAAUAAUCUUCCAAUGAAAGAAAUAUAUUUUUCUGUAUGGAAAUAUGACUGAUCGUCAAAAGAAAAUCCAGGAUCGUUUAAUCAACAUAACACUUGAGGAUUAUGCCCCACAAAAAAAGCUGACAUGCGCUCAAGAUUCCAGACCAGGCAUGAGAUGGAGGUUGACUAAUUUGGUGAUUCAACUUUAGAAAGAACUAUGACAUCCGAUCUCUUAUAGUAUGUGAUUAUGAUUUUUUUUCUAGGAGUUGGGAUGUCUGUGUAACAUCAGUUCUUGCCAUAUUUACAGGUUUUUAUCCACCUGCGAAAUAAUUUGUAGAACAAUGUGUCAAAUUUCAGUUGUUACGCAGACCUUGCUAUCUGCACAAAAGCACAAAGCAUGUAUUUUAUUUUCAUGUGCAUUCAUGAAUUUAAUAAAUCAGAAUGACACUCAGGCCUUUUUGGAUUCUCCAUAUAUAUCAUUGAUUUCGUUGGUCCUUAA